UACGUAGGGUGCAAGCGUUGUCCGGAAUUAUUGGGCGUAAAGAGCUCGUAGGCGGUCUGUCACGUCGGAUGUGAAAACUCGGGGCUCAACCCCGAGCCUGCAUACGAUACGGGCAGACUUGAGUUCGGCAGGGGAGACUGGAAUUCCUGGUGUAGCGGUGAAAUGCGCAGAUAUCAGGAGGAACACCUAUUGCGAAGGCAGCUCGCUGGGACGUAACUGACGCUGAGACGCGAAAGCGUGGGGAGCAAACAGG
rnacentral:rRNA from 1 species